GGGGAAUAUUGCGCAAUGGGCGAAAGCCUGACGCAGCAACGCCGCGUGCGGGAUGAAGGCCUUCGGGUUGUAAACCGCUUUCAGCAGGGACGAAGGGUUUCUGACGGUACCUGCAGAAGAAGCACCGGCUAAAUACGUGCCAGCAGCCGCGGUAAUACGUAGGGGGCGAGCGUUGUCCGGAAUUACUGGGCGUAAAGGGAGCGUAGGCGGUCGAUUAAGUUGGAUGUGAAAUACCCGGGCUUAACUUGGGGGGUGCAUCCAAGACUGGUUGACUAGAGUACAGGAGAGGAAAGCGGAAUUCCUAGUGUCGCGGUGAAAUGCAUAGAUAUUAGGAGGAACAUCGGUGGCGAAGGCGGCUUUCUGGACUGACACUGACGCUGAGGCUCGAAAGCGUGGGGAGCAAACA
rnacentral:rRNA from 1 species